AUUGAACGCUGGCGGCAGGCCUAACACAUGCAAGUCGAACGAGUGGGGACGGGUGAGUAACACGUGGGUAACCUCCCAUCAGAGGGGAUAACACUUGGAAACAGGUGCUAAACCGAUACUGAUGGAUGGACCCGCGGUGCAUUAGCUAGUUGGUGAGGUAACGGAUCACCAAGGCCACGAUGCAUAGCCGACCUGAGAGGAUGAUCGGCCACACGGCGACUGGGACACGGCCCAGAAUCCGAAGUGAGGCAGCAGUAGGGAAUCUUCGGCAAUGGACGAAAGUCUGACCGAGCAACGCCGCGUGAGUGAAGAAGGGUUUCGGAUCGUAAAACUCUGUUGUUAGAGAAGCGGUAUCUAACCAGAAAGCCACGGCUAACUACGUGCCAGCAGCCGCGGUAAUUC
rnacentral:rRNA from 1 species